CAGGGAGUCAAUAAGAUUGUAAUUUUGCACCGGUACAAAACUUAUAGUGGAAUCAGAGAAAGUAGAAACACCAGCCUAUUACAGAUUUAAUAAGUCAUGUUUGGCAACCGACUUCACAAAACAUGAUGCUGUAAGCUUCACAGACGUUACACCAGUGCGAUAUUCAGGCCAAAAUUACUUCAGCAGCUUCACCUUUAAUGAUUCAGAACCCUGCCCAGAAAAAGGUAGGAAUGAUAUAUCACAUGCAAUUAAAAAAACAAACAUUUCCAACUUAAUUCCUCAAAUAUUUGGUUGCAUUAUAUUAAUCCUCUUUAUUCCACUUUCAGACUGUAAGUCAGGAUCAUCCGGUCAAAAUGCUUAUUUUGAAACCGGUAAGUGUGCUUUUAUUUGCACAUUUAUAUAG
ensembl:lncRNA